rnacentral:lncRNA from 1 species
AAAGGACUGAUCUAUCAAUUUGACUCCCCUUUACUCCCAUAGAGAAUUUGUUCACUCUCUUCCACUGUCUGAAUUAUUCUUACUUCAAAUCUUUGCGGAAGGCAUUCCAUGCUUCCUGCACAAACUAACUGCACCAAGAGGUCUUCCCUGACUGCUGUUCUCUCCUCCUUCCAGAGACGGUCUUUGUCACUCACAGAGUUACAACAUACUAUAAUUCUAGAAAAGAAGGAAAGGAGUGGAAAAAAUGUGACCUAUGUCAGAGCAACUGGAAUGUAGCAAGAUAAUAAAGAGACUCUUGGGUCCUCCUCUUUCAGUGUACAUAC